rnacentral:rRNA from 1 species
GGGCCUACGGGAGGCAGCAGUGGGGAAUAUUGCGCAAUGGGCGAAAGCCUGACGCAGAGACGCCGCGUGAGGGAUGAAGGCCUUCGGGUCGUAAACCUCUCUCAGGAGGGAAGAAGUGGUAUACGGUAAUACCGUAU